UAAGGAAUAUUGGACAAUGGAGGCAACUCCGAUCCAGCCAUGCCGCGUGAAGGAAUAAGGCCCUAUGGGUUGUAAACUUCUUUUAGACGGGACAAAACCCCUUUACGUGUAAAGGGUUGAUGGUACUGUCAGAAUAAGCAUCGGCUAACUUCGUGCCAGCAGCCGCGGUAAUACGAAGGAUGCAAGCGUUAUCCGGAAUUAUUGGGUUUAAAGGGUGCGUAGGCGGACUAAUAAGUCAGUGGUGAAAGCCUGCAGCUUAACUGCAGAAUUGCCAUUGAUACUGUUAGUCUUGAGUACAGUUGAGGUAGGCGGAAUGUGUCAUGUAGCGGUGAAAUGCUUAGAUAUGACACAGAACACCGAGUGCGAAGGCAGCUUGCUAAGCUGUAACUGACGCUGAGGCACGAAAGCGUGGGGAGCAAA
rnacentral:rRNA from 1 species